GAAACGACUGCUAAGACUGGAUAGGAGACAAGAAGGCAUCUUCUUGUUUUUAAAAGACCUAGCAAUAGGUAUGCUUAGGGAGGAGCUUGCGUCACAUUAGUUAGUUGGUGGGGUAAAGGCCUACCAAGACUAUGAUGUGUAGCCGGGCUGAGAGGUUGAACGGCCACAUUGGGACUGAGACACGGCCCAAACUCCUACGGGAGGCAGCAGUAGGGAAUUUUCGGCAAUGGAGGAAACUCUGACCGAGCAACGCCGCGUGAACGAUGAAGUAUUUCGGUACGUAAAGUUCUUUUAUUAGGGAAGAAUAAAUGAUGGAAAAAUCAUUCUGACGGUACCUAAUGAAUAAGCCCCGGCUAACUAUGUGCCAGCAGCCGCGGUAAUACAUAGGGGGCAAGCGUUAUCCGGAAUUAUUGGGCGUAAAGGGUGCGUAGGCGGUUAAAUAAGUUUAUGGUCUAAGUGCAAUGCUCAACAUUGUGAUGCUAUAAAAACUGUUUAGCUAGAGUAAGAUAGAGGCAAGUGGAAUUCCAUGUGUAGUGGUAAAAUGCGUAAAUAUAUGGAGGAACACCAGUAGCGAAGGCGGCUUGCUGGGUCUUUACUGACGCUGAGGCACGAAAGCGUGGGGAGCAAACAGGAUUAGAUACCCUGGUAGUCCACGCCGUAAACGAUGAGUACUAAACGUUGGGUAAAACCAGUGUUGAAGUUAACACAUUAAGUACUCCGCCUGAGUAGUACGUACGCAAGUAUGAAACUUAAAGGAAUUGACGGGACUCCGCACAAGCGGUGGAUCAUGUUGUUUAAUUCGAAGGUACCCGAAAAACCUCACCAGGUCUUGACAUGCUUCUGCAAAGCUGUAAAAACACAGUGGAGGUUAUCAGUUGCACAGGUGGUGCAUGGUUGUCGUCCAGCUCGUGUCGUGAGAUGUUGGGUUAAGUCCCCGCAACGAGCGCAACCCUUAUUGUUAGUUACCAGCACGUAAUGGUGGGGACUUUAGCAAGACUGCCAGUGAUAAAUUGGAGGAAGGUGGGGACGACGUCAAAUCAUCAUGCCCCUUAUGACCUGGGCUACAAACGUGAUACAAUGGCUGUUACAAAGGGUAGCUGAAGCGCAAGUUUUUGGCGAAUCUCAAAAAAACAGUCUCAGUUCGGAUUGAAGUCUGCAACUCGACUUCAUGAAGUUGGAAUCGCUAGUAAUCGCGAAUCAGCAUGUCGCGGUGAAUACGUUCUCGGGGUUUGUACACACCGCCCGUCA
rnacentral:rRNA from 6 species